rnacentral:rRNA from 1 species
GUGGGGAAUCUUGCGCAAUGGACGAAAGUCUGACGCAGCGACGCCGCGUGAGUGAUGAAGGCCUUAGGGUCGUAAAGCUCUGUUGAAUGGGAAGAAAAAAAUGACGGUACCAUUCGAGGAAGGACCGGCUAACUUCGUGCCAGCAGCCGCGGUAAUACGAGGGGUCCUAGCGUUGUUCGGAAUCAUUGGGCGUAAAGGGUGUGUAGGUGGCCAUGUAAGUCAGGUGUGAAAGCCCCGGGCUCAACCCGGGAAGUGCACUUGAUACUGCGUGGCUUGAGUACCGAAGAGGGUAGUGGAAUUCCAGGUGUAGUGGUGAAAUACGUAGAUAUCUGGAGGAACACCGGUGGCGAAGGCGGCUACCUGGUCGAGUACUGACACUGAGACACGAAAGCAUGGGGAUCAAACAGGAUUAGAAACCCCGGUAGUCC